GACGUAGGGCGCGAGCGUUGUCCGGAUUUAUUGGGCGUAAAGAGCUCGUAUGCGGCUUGUCGCGUCGUCCGUGAAAACCUGCAGCUCAACUGCAGGCUUGCGGUCGAUACGGGCAGGCUAGAGUUCGGUAGGGGAGACUGGAAUUCCUGGUGUAGCGGUGAAAUGCGCAGAUAUCAGGAGGAACACCGGUGGCGAAGGCGGGUCUCUGGGCCGAUACUGACGCUAAGGAGCGAAAGCGUGGGGAGCGAACAGG
rnacentral:rRNA from 1 species